GAGACGUCACCGGAUACGUCAUGCAUUUAGUUGCCUCACCUCCGCAGGUGGAUUUGAAACCUAAACUGAAGCUGGGAGGUGCGGUGAGAAGCAGAGUGGUGGGAUCGCUACAUUUAUAAUAUGGACUCGCUACCCUAAUUGUUUUCCCAGAGAGCUGUGCAACGUACUUGUUCUGCAGCUGCUCGUUUUCCUGGCGCAACUGGCCCAGCUCGGUGCGUAUGGAGCGCUCAGCGCUGCCCAGCGAGCCAAUCUGGCUGCGGAGGUCCUGCUCAACCUGCCGGCUGGCCUGCAGGUCCGCCUUCAGCUUCUUAAUGUCCUGCUCCAGUCUGUCAGAAGACGGCUGUGCCGAGGUUGGCACGCUGCCAUUGGAGGUGCUGUGGCCGCACGACAAGGAAUUGAGCAUUACGGAGUUGGUGUUAGUAUUUUUGUAAUUUUUGGAGGAGU